CCUACGGGAGGCUGCAGUCGAGAAUUUUUCGCAAUGGGCGCAAGCCUGACGGAGCGAUGCCGUGUGAGGGAUGAAGGCCUUAGGGUUGUAAACCUCUUUCGCUUGGGAACAAGAAGGAUGUGCCAAUAACACAUUCGACCGAGGGUACCAGGUAAAGAAGCACCGGCUAACCACGUGCCAGCAGCUGCGGUAAUACGUGGGGUGCAAGCAUUAAUCGGAUUUAUUGGGCGUAAAGGGUGCGUAGGCGGAUAGGCAAGUGAGAUGUGAAAUGCCGGGGCUUAACCUCGGAACUGCAUUUCAAACUACCUGUCUUGAGGGUAGACGGGGAGAAUGGAAUUCCACAUGUAGCGGUGAAAUGCGUAGAUAUGUGGAAGAACACCGGUGGCGUAGGCGAUUCUCUAGUUUAUACCUGACGCUGAGGCACGAAAGCUGGGGGAGCAAACAGGAUUAGAUACCCUAGUAGUC
rnacentral:rRNA from 1 species